rnacentral:rRNA from 1 species
UAGGGAAUCUUCCGCAAUGGACGCAAGUCUGACGGAGCAACGCCGCGUGAGUGAAGAAGGAUUUCGGUUCGUAAAACUCUGUUGUUAGAGAAGAACAGCGCAUAGAGUAACUGUUAUGCGUGUGACGGUAUCUAACCAGAAAGCCACGGCUAACUACGUGCCAGCAGCCGCGGUAAUACGUAGGUGGCAAGCGUUGUCCGGAUUUAUUGGGCGUAAAGCGAGCGCAGGCGGUCAAUUAAGUCUGAUGUGAAAGCCCCCGGCUCAACCGGGGGGGGUCAUUGGAAACUGGUUGACUUGAGUGCAGAAGAGGAGAGUGGAAUUCCCUGUGUAGCGGUGAAAUGCGUAGAUAUAUGGAGGAACACCAGUGGCGAAGGCGACUCUCUGGUCUGUAACUGACGCUGAGGCUCGAAAGCGUGGGUAGCAAACAGG